AUUGAACGCUAGCGGCAUGCCUUACACAUGCAAGUCGAACGGUAACAGGUCUUCGGAUGCUGACGAGUGGCGAACGGGUGAGUAAUACAUCGGAACGUGCCCGAUCGUGGGGGAUAACGAAGCGAAAGCUUUGCUAAUACCGCAUACGAUCUACGGAUGAAAGCAGGGGACCGCAAGGCCUUGCGCGAACGGAGCGGCCGAUGGCAGAUUAGGUAGUUGGUGGGAUAAAAGCUUACCAAGCCGACGAUCUGUAGCUGGUCUGAGAGGACGACCAGCCACACUGAAACUGAGACCGGGCCCAGACUCCUACGGAAGGAAGCGGUGGGGAAUUUUGGACAAUGGGCGAAGGCCUGAUCCAGCCAUGCCGCGUGCAGAAUGAGGGCCUUGGGGUUGUAAACUGCUUUUGUAGGGAACGAAAAGACUCUGGUUAAUACCUGGGGUCCAGGACGGUACCGUAAGAAUAAGCACCGGCUACCUACGU
rnacentral:rRNA from 1 species